rnacentral:rRNA from 1 species
CCUACGGGAGGCUGCAGUGGGGAAUAUUGGGCAAUGGAGGCAACUCUGACCCAGCAACGCCGCGUGAGCGAUGAAGGUCUUCGGAUUGUAAAGCUCUGUCGCAGGGGACGUAGUAUGACGGUACCCUGUAAGAAAGCACCGGCAAACUACGUGCCAGCAGCCGCGGUAAUACGUAGGGGGCUAGCGUUGUCCGGAAUUACUGGGGGUAAAGGGAGUGUAGACGGCUUGUCAAGUCAAGUGUGAAAGCUUGCGGCUUAACCGCAGAAUUGCAGUUAAAACUGACAGGCUAGAGUGCAGGAGAGGUGGGUGGAAUUCGUGGUGUAGCGGUGGAAUGCGUAGAUAUUAGGAAGAACACCGGAGGCGAAGGCGGCUCACUAGACUGUAACUGACGUUGAGGCUCGAAAGCGUGGGGAGCAAACAGGAUUAGAUACCCUUGUAGUC